UUUUUUCUGUGGGCAUUGAACUUGACCCCUGCCGCCCCCUCUAUAAUGAGUGAAUAGAAAAACAUCUCUCUUUGGAAUGCUGUGUGUGUGUGUGGAGAGAAGAGGCCGCAGCCCAGUAUCGCCGCCUCGGCGAGUGUGUGUGUGCGUGUGUGUGUGCGUGUGUGUGUGAGUGUGUGCGUGUGUGUGUGUGUGUGUGCGUGUGUGUGUUGGUGUGUGUGCUCUCCCCGAACAAAUAAAGACCAAGUGUCCCUCUACUGUACAGCUUACCUGUAAAUAUACUCAGCACACACACACACACACACACACACACACACACACACACACACACACACACAGGAGAGGUGUGCACACAAUGUGUUCAUAAACAAACGUGUGUGUUUAGGGUCAGAGGUGAAGAGACAGAAUAGCAGGAAAACAUCUGGAAUUCAGCAAAUAAGACAUUAUGAUAAAAAUGGUCGGCAUGCUCCAUUUAAAGUGCACUAAUUCUUCAGAGACAAGUAUGGAGGAUUUUAUGCCGUCUAGUGUAGCGUGUAGUCUAAAGCUGUUCACUUGACUGAAGAAGACUUGUAUACAGCUUGAGCUCAUGUUUACAGAGUUUACUGACGGAAUAAAUGAAGAGAAGUGGAGUCAUUUUCAGACUGGUAUACAGUAGGACUUCUUUUGGUUUCUUAUAUUUAUGGGAGGUAGAAUACUACAGUCCUCUUACUGUGAUAUAUACGUGUGUGUGUGUGUGUGUGUGUGUGUGUGUGUGUGUGUGUGUGUGUGUGUGUGUGUAUCACGUGUGGCCCAAAACGUCCAGUGAACCUGACACAGCGUGACGCUGAGCUGUGUUUGAUCUUAAUCCUGAUCUUCCAUCCGUUGAUGCUGUCAACAUCCAUCACACGCACAUGCCGGGGGGAGGGGCUAGUUACAGCGCUCUCGUGAAUGACAAACAGGGCUAGAAAGGAGGACAGGUAUGGGUAGAGCUAUCUCACAUCCCCCACAUAACCUCGCCCCAUGCUGCCCUCGCCCUCCUCCUCCUCCUGCAAAUCCCCCCCACAUGUUUAUGCAUGGCACCCUGUUUCAUAUGUAUUGGUCGCAUCAUUCCCCCCUGUUGUCACGGGAACUGAUGACACAGGCUGCAUUAAGAAUGAUGACCCACCUACAGAUUACUGUGCUGUUUGUAGUCACACACACACACACACACAUUCGCUCAGUGACUGAUGCUGAAACAUUUCCUCGUGGGACCUGAUAACACCAGCAAGGGAAAACAAGCCAACUCCACUCUAAGCUUAACCAGUAAACCUGAGCCACAGAUGCUGCAUGGCGCAUUAAGGAACAACCACAAGAUUGUUUUAUUACUGCAGAAUGUGUAGAUGUAAGAAAACUGAGAGGUGCAAUAUUCAAAACGUUCAGAAUAGGGAUGUUUAAGCUUCAUUUUGAACUGUUCAAUAGUUUUAUCUUAAUUCAAAUGCAUUUUUUUCUCUUUUUAUUCAAUAAUAGGCCAGUUAGAACCAAAUAAGGGAGUAUCUGUCCUUAAUACAAUGUAUAAUACGGGUAGAUGAAAUCCAGCGUUCUGAUUGGUUGAGAGUGAGUCCCGGGGUGCAUUAUUCAGCAGUGAUGUGCAGUUGCUGUUCACAUUGACCCGAGCGGUCUGUAUCCCUGCGCACAAGUAGCAGUUAGAUUUUGCGCGACCGUUAGUUUACAUUGUAGCUGUUAGCUUUGUGGCGAUCGCCGGAAAUGCCACAAAUGAUCGGUUUGAUCGGUUUGAUCGGUUCGAUCGGUUUGAUCGGUUUGGGGCAAUGAGAGCUUUCACAACCAGACAAUUAAGGUGGACGUCAUGAGCGAUGUGGAUGGAUGAGAUGCUGUGAGAUCCUCCAAAGAGACCCAAUGCUGUUUAGGUGCACGUAUGGGACUAUUUUUCUCACACUACUGAAAUGAGAUUUGGUGAUUACAAUUACUUUGCAGCUGUAUAAUUAAUUAUAUGUAUAAUAAAGUGAUUACCACAUCCUUUCAGUGGAAAGGAAGCAUUCAAAUUAUUUGUAAAGUAGAAAUUCUAAAAUUCACAUGUGUUACAUAACACAAGACACUUCUUUCUUUACAGGUGUGUAGUUUAUAGUUCAUAUAGCUGUGUUGUAUUUGGUAAAUUAAUCAAAUUUGUCAUUGGAGUGAAAGAUUUUAAUAUUUAAUGUAAUUACAGAUGUCAAAAAAUCUAUUGAAGUAAAAAUAGAUUGUAUUUUUAAUUGCAGUGAAGAUAAGAACAGUUGCAAAAAAUGUAAGUAAAGCCAAAGUACCUGGAAACUGCUGUACAACACUUUCUGCACUUCUGAUUAUGUUUCACCAACCAUGACCACGAGUUUAGUUUACACAUUUUAUUUUCAGUUGUACAGUAAAUACAGUGAAUUCACCAUCCUUCAUAUGGAUUUAAUUGAAUUCAUCAUCAGUUAAUUAUGAAAAUUCCAAUAAAACAUGUUGAAUGUAAUUCUAUGAGGAAACUCAUUUAAAAGUAAAAUGUAAACUAGAUGUGACAAAACUUAGCGAUCAAACAAUCAACAAUUGUUUAAUCAGACACUCGAUACUGAUGCCUCCAUGUGACCUCAAUAUGGAAAGAAGAUUGUUUAUUUCUAUAUCAAUAAUUGAUAGGCCUCUUGUUAAUCUGUUUACCCACAACAUCGGAUCAAACGUUGUGCAGGAGCAGAGCUUUUCCUCGCUGACACCACAGUGCCGGACACCCAGGCCCCGCUGCCGAAGACCCAGGCCCCGCUGCCGAAGACCCAGGCCCCGCUGCCGGAGACCCAGGCCCCGCUGCCGAAGACCCGCCGGAGACCCAGGCCCCGCUGCCGAAGACCCGCCGGAGACCCAGGCCCCGCUGCCG
ensembl:lncRNA